rnacentral:lncRNA from 1 species
CGGCUCCUCACAAGGUUCCUUCCCACAGCUGAGCACUGCCCACAGCUGCCCUUGCCCCUGCCUUUCCACGUUGCACAAGCCCAGCGCACGGUACCCACUGGAUAUGCCCGAGGCCUCCAGAGGAAAGGAAAGGAGGAAAAGGGACAGAAGAAAUGUUCACAGGAACUGCAUAUGGGCCUGCUACUUGUGUCAAAAUGUGACUGAACUCUCUUCCAGCAGGCUGGAGUGCAGUGGUGCGAUCUCAGCUCAUUGCAACCUAUGCCUCCCGGGUUCAAACGAUGCGUAGUAUGGCAGCAAUUAAGAUGGAAGUAAUGAGGAAAAGGAAUACUUAUCAAUGGAGAUUAGAGAGAGCCAAGGUGUGGGGAAAAGAGUGACUUCACCUUAAAUGUUAACCUGCCAUGUAACUUCUGACUAAUCCCAGGUCCAGAAAUGCCUCCAAAUGUCUCGUUGCUGUAUUACUCUUUAUGUGGAAACACCUGUUCACUCUUACUCUGAGGGAGGUCUGAAUGCCAUAUUGUGAGCGGCCCUGCUGAAAGACCCAUGUGGCAAGGAUCUGAGAUCAUUGGCCAACAGGCUGCAAAGAGUCCUACCAACAGCCAGGCUGGUGUUCUUGGAAGUGGAUCUUCUCCUACUCUCCUACUUGAGAUGACUGCAGCCCCAGCUAACACUUCGAUUGCAGCCUUGUUAAGAUAUCACGGGCCAGACACACCCAGCUAAGUUAUGCCUGAGUUACUAGCCCACAGAAAUGAUAAGAUAAUAAAUAUUUGCUGUUUUAAGCUGCUAAGUUUUGGGUUAAUUUGUUAUACAACAAUGGAUAACUAAUACAAGUGCAGUCAUUGAUCUCAUUGAACACACCCGUAAUUCUUUGGAAAAAUGUCUACUUUCUCACCAAACUAAAAUCCAUUAAUUCCAGUAGUUAGGUGUUUGGCAAUGCCUUUAAAACGAUGCAUAGAAGUACAUGGCCAGGUCUUUAAAAUUGCGUUGCUAGACUGAAGAAGAGCUGU